AGGAAAUGGCAACUCGCUCCAGUAUUCUUGCCUGAAAAAUUCCACGGACAGAGGAGCCUGAUGCAGUGGGAAAAGCAAGAGAACUAGAAGUGGAGCCUGAAGAUGUGAGUGAAUUCCUGUAAUCUCGAGAUAAAACUAGUGGAUGAAGAGUCUUUUAUUCCAGAUUCCACAAACAAGGAAACCAUACAGUGUUAGUCUUUCUCUGACUCACUUUACUUAGCAGAAUACCCUCAACUUCCUGCCAUCCGUGUUGUCACAGACAGCAAGAUGUCCUUUAUUAUGUAAAGUCCAUGCAUUUUUUUAGACAUAAUGUUAUUGCACACCUAAUAGGCUUCAGCACAGUAUAAAUAUAACUUUUACAUGCACUGGGAAACCAGAAAAA